CUUCUACCUGGCUUACCUUUUCAGUUGUGUGUUAAGGAGUCUAUUGCCUUUGCGCACUGUGGGUUUCCUGUGUUGCUUACCUAAGUGAAGGUAUUGUUUUGCCUGAUCAAAGUCCCUUUUCGUUUUGUGUUACACUCGUGGCAUGGGAUGAACCUUGAAGUGGUCUCAAUGAUCUACACCAUUGACGUGCGUGCGUUGAUGAUGUGGCCCAUUGAGCNUUGCUUGGUCUCGUGGAUACAGAACCUUAUGUUGGCUUGGGGUCUAUUUGGAUCCUUGUUUUGCCCUCAUUAAGCGUUCACGCUUCUAUAAACGACCGCACAUCACGCAUUGGUUUGUACCAGCGUGGUGGGCUAUGUCGAAGAGGAAUGCUACCUGGUUGAUCCUGCCAGUAGUCAUA
rnacentral:misc_RNA from 1 species